CUAUGGAAGUUCGGACGGAGUCUGGUUCUUGUAGAAGGCUGAAAGGAGACUGCUUAUUGUAGAAGCUCGAUCGAAGAUCGAUUGUCGUGGGAGCUUGGAGUAGCGAUCUGGCCGGUGGGUCCUGUCCCAUUGUAGAAGCUUGUCUAGGAUCUGGUUACGAAGAAGCUCGACUGAAGUCUACCUAUAAUGAAAGUUCGAAAGAAAUGUGUUUACAGUAGGGGCUCGAAUGGAAUUUGCUUACAGUAGAGAUUUGGAGUAUACCGCCCACUGUAGGAGUUUGGAGUAGACCGCCCACUGUAGGAGUUCGGAGUAGACCGCUCGUAGUAGAAGUUCGGAGCAGACUGCUCGCUGUAGGAGUUCGGAGUAGACCGCUCAUAGUAGAAGUUCGGAGCAGACCGCUCACUGUAG
rnacentral:lncRNA from 1 species